rnacentral:rRNA from 1 species
AUGACUUGCAAUCCGAAUUGGGAUGAGAUAAUUAGUGAGCUGGAGCCUGGACAAACCCCACAGGAUCGCCCUGAUCUUAUCAUACGAGUAUUUCGAGCAAAGUUGGAAGACCUCAAGAUACAACUUUUUAAAAAGCACAUGCUCGGUAAGGUAGCAGCAUAUGUGUAUGUCGUUGAGUUUCAGAAAAGUGGUCUACCACAUGCUCAUUUCCUCCUAAUCAUGGAGGGGAGGUACAAGCUAACUUGCCCAGAGCAAUAUGACUGUCUAAUAUCUGCUGAAUUGCCAGACAAAUCCAAGUACCCAGAGUUGUACAAAAUGGUCGUCAAGCACAUGAUGCAUGGCCCGUGUGGAGUCCUCAACCCCAAGAACGUGUGCAUGCAAAAUGGUAGCUGCAAGAACUACUAUCCACGACCAUUUAAU